rnacentral:tRNA from 1 species
AUUCAUAAUCUUUUAAGAGUUUUGAUUUGAAAUCAGAAUGAUUGUUUUUAUUAACAAUAUGAAUU